GAAAUGACAAGCUGCAAGACAUGCUGCAAAACGAACUCAAAACAUUGGCCAGCCGUUCCUGUUGCGGCCACCAAUGCAGCACAUCUACUAAUCAUGGCGCCUAUGAACAUGAGGCCACCCACAGGAGCAUUCAAGAGAAGGCAAGGCCGUUGCAGUUCAUGCAGCCAUC